rnacentral:rRNA from 1 species
UGGGGAAUUUUGGACAAUGGGCGAAAGCCUGAUCCAGCAAUGCCGCGUGUGUGAAGAAGGCCUUCGGGUUGUAAAGCACUUUUGUCCGGAAAGAAAUCCUUGGCUCUAAUACAGUCGGGGGAUGACGGUACCGGAAGAAUAAGCACCGGCUAACUACGUGCCAGCAGCCGCGGUAAUACGUAGGGUGCAAGCGUUAAUCGGAAUUACUGGGCGUAAAGCGUGCGCAGGCGGUUUGCUAAGACCGAUGUGAAAUCCCCGGGCUCAACCUGGGAACUGCAUUGGUGACUGGCAGGCUAGAGUAUGGCAGAGGGGGGUAGAAUUCCACGUGUAGCAGUGAAAUGCGUAGAGAUGUGGAGGAAUACCGAUGGCGAAGGCAGCCCCCUGGGCCAAUACUGACGCUCAUGCACGAAAGCGUGGGGAGCAAAACAGGAUUAGAUACCCUGGUAGUCCACGCCCUAAANGAUGUCAACUAGUUGUUGGGGAUUCAUUUCCUUAGUAACGUAGCUAACGCGUGAAGUUGACCGCCUGGGGAGUACGGUCGCAAGAUUAAAACUCAAAUAAUUGACGGGGUCAUAGCUGUUUCCU